CAGGGGGUAUUUUAAUUAAAAUUUUGGCUUUGGGUGUCAAGGAUAGGAGUUUAAAUCUUUUCCCCCUGA
rnacentral:tRNA from 2 species